UUUUAAAUUUAGAGUUUGAUCCUGGCUCAGGACGAACGCUGGCGGCGUGCUUAACACAUGCAAGUCGAGCGAUGAAGCUUCCUUCGGGAAGUGGAUUAGCGGCGGACGGGGGAGUAACACGUGGGUAACCUGCCUCAAAGUGGGGGAUAGCCUUCCGAAAGGAAGAUUAAUACCGCAUAAUAUAAGAGAAUCGCAUGAUUUUCUUAUCAAAGAUUUAUUGCUUUGAGAUGGACCCGCGGCGCAUUAGCUAGUUGGUAAGGUAACGGCUUACCAAGGCAACGAUGCGUAGCCGACCUGAGAGGGUGAUCGGCCACAUUGGAACUGAGACACGGUCCAGACUCCUACGGGAGGCAGCAGUGGGGAAUAUUGCGCAAUGGGGGAAACCCUGACGCAGCAACGCCGCGUGGGUGAUGAAGGUCUUCGGAUUGUAAAGCCCUGUUUUCUAGGACGAUAAUGACGGUACUAGAGGAGGAAGCCACGGCUAACUACGUGCCAGCAGCCGCGGUAAUACGUAGGUGGCGAGCGUUGUCCGGAUUUACUGGGCGUAAAGGGUGCGUAGGCGGAUGUUUAAGUGGGAUGUGAAAUCCCCGGGCUUAACCUGGGGGCUGCAUUCCAAACUGGAUAUCUAGAGUGCAGGAGAGGAAAGCGGAAUUCCUAGUGUAGCGGUGAAAUGCGUAGAGAUUAGGAAGAACACCAGUGGCGAAGGCGGCUUUCUGGACUGUAACUGACGCUGAGGCACGAAAGCGUGGGUAGCAAACAGGAUUAGAUACCCUGGUAGUCCACGCCGUAAACGAUGGAUACUAGGUGUAGGGGGUAUCAACUCCCCCUGUGCCGCAGUUAACACAAUAAGUAUCCCGCCUGGGGAGUACGGUCGCAAGAUUAAAACUCAAAGGAAUUGACGGGGGCCCGCACAAGCAGCGGAGCAUGUGGUUUAAUUCGAAGCAACGCGAAGAACCUUACCUGGACUUGACAUCCCUUGCAUAGCCUAGAGAUAGGUGAAGCCCUUCGGGGCAAGGAGACAGGUGGUGCAUGGUUGUCGUCAGCUCGUGUCGUGAGAUGUUAGGUUAAGUCCUGCAACGAGCGCAACCCUUGUUAUUAGUUGCUACCAUUAAGUUGAGCACUCUAAUGAGACUGCCUGGGUAACUAGGAGGAAGGUGGGGAUGACGUCAAAUCAUCAUGCCCCUUAUGUCCAGGGCUACACACGUGCUACAAUGGUAGGUACAAUAAGA
rnacentral:rRNA from 1 species